rnacentral:rRNA from 1 species
AGAUUGAACGCUGGCGGCAGGCCUAACACAUGCAAGUCGAGCGGCAGCACGGGUACUUGUACCUGGUGGCGAGCGGCGGACGGGUGAGUAAUGCCUAGGAAUCUGCCUGGUAGUGGGGGAUAACGCUCGGAAACGGACGCUAAUACCGCAUACGUCCUACGGGUGAAAGCAGGGGACCUUCGGGCCUUGCGCUAUCAGAUGAGCCUAGGUCGGAUUAGCUAGUUGGUGAGGUAAUGGCUCACCAAGGCGACGAUCCGUAACUGGUCUGAGAGGAUGAUCAGUCACACUGGAACUGAGACACGGUCCAGACUCCUACGGGAGGCAGCAGUGGGGAAUAUUGGACAAUGGGCGAAAGCCUGAUCCAGCCAUGCCGCGUGUGUGAAGAAGGUCUUCGGAUUGUAAAGCACUUUAAGUUGGAGGAAGGCAGUAAAUUAAUACUUUGCUGUCUUGACGUUACCGACAGAAUAAGCAACCGGCUAAACUCUGUG